GUAUCUAACACAAUUGUCGCCGGUUGGGGCAAUCUCAGACCCUUUCAGUUUAUAAUUGGUGGCAUUGUGCCGUGUAUAUUCGUCUUCGCGUCAAUUUGUAUUGGCAUUAGAGCCUUUGGCGAAUUUGCUUUCGACGGCUACUUGAAGGUGGAAGAUGAUGACUUCAAGUACACCUAUAAGCCCUAAAAAAAAAACCCAAAGGGCAAUUUGCGUUUGAAAGUU